rnacentral:tRNA from 2 species
GCCCGGGUAGCUCAGUUGGUAGAGCAACGGAUUGAAAAUCCGUGUGUCGGCGGUUCAAAUCCGUCCCCGGGCACCA